rnacentral:RNase_P_RNA from 14 species
UCAGGGUGAAGCUUGUGUUAGGUGCAAACAUACGCCCACCGUCCUCUUCAAGAGCGGCGGUGGUACCUCAUUCAGUGCACUUGGGAAGGUCUGAGGAAGCCGACAAUCUCUAAGCGGGAGUCCCUCUCAAGAGGGAGCUCGGGGACCAGAAACGACACUCGCGCGCUUUAGGGACCGGAGAGCUGGCACACGACCGCAGGGCGACCUGCGCGAUGCCCACACCACACACUCCGCCCCGCGCCUGGUGAACCGACCCGGGUGGCUAGCAACUAUCAGUUCAAUACACAAAGCCGUCAUCGACAGGCAACUCAAUUCAGACUACUCUCACCCUGA